CAUGGCCUUUUGUUAAUAAAAUUUAAGGUCUAACCUGCCCAAUGAUGAUUUUUAUUUAAUGGCCGCGGUAUUUUGACCGUGCAAAGGUAGCAUAAUCAUUAGUUUUUUAAUUGAAAGCUGGAAUGAAGGGUUGAAUGAGAAAAUAACUGUCUUUAUAAUAUUUAAUUAUAAUUUUAUUUUUAAGUUAAAAAGCUUAAAUUAAAUUUAUAGACGAGAAGACCCUUUAGAGUUUUAUAAAAAAUAAUAUAAAAUUUUUUAGUAAUAAUUUAAUUUUAUUAAAUUUUUUAUUUGAUUGGGGUGAUUAAAAAAUUUAAAUAACUUUUUUUUAUAUAAAACAUUAAUAUAUGAAUAAUUGAUCCAUUUUUUAUGAUUAUAAGAUUAAAUUACCUAAGGGAUAACAGCGUUAUUUUUUUUGAGAGUUCUAAUCGAAAAAAAAGUUUGCGACCUCGAUGUUGGAUUAAAAUUAAAUUAUGGUGUAGAGGCUAUAACCGCA
rnacentral:rRNA from 1 species